rnacentral:rRNA from 1 species
UACGGAAGGGGCGAGCGUUGUUCGGAAUCAUUGGGCGUAAAGGGCGCGUAGGUGGUUCUGUAUGUCUGCCGUGAAAGGGUACAGCUCAACUGUAGCUUGUCGGCAGAAACCGCAGGACUUGAGGCUGGGAGGGGCUGGUGGAAUUCCCUGUGUAGCGGUGAAAUGCGUAGAGAUGGGGGAGAACACUCGUGGCGAAGGCGGCCAGCUAGACCAGUUCUGACACUGAGGCGCGACAGCGUGGGGAGCAAACAGG